rnacentral:tRNA from 1 species
UCUCUGGUGGCUCAGACGGUAAAGCAUCUGCCAGCAAUGCAGGAGACCCAGGUUCAAUUCCUGGGUCACAAAG